rnacentral:lncRNA from 1 species
UGGCACAGGCUGGAAGCUGCAGCUCCCAUUCGACCCCUAGCCUGGGAACCUCCAUAUGCUGCAGGUGCUGCCCUAAAAGACAGAAAAGAAAAGAAAGGAAAGGAAAGAUAAGAAUAAAUAAACGAAUAAAUGAAAAACAUCAAACAAGCAAAAACUCCACUACAAACAAUAAAAGAAAACCAAGUAGCCACUCUUAACAAAUAACCCAUUAGCAUUGACUUUCCAAUGGAUUUAACCAAGCACUCUUUAAAUAAGACGGUCCUAGGUUUCUUUUAAUUAUUCCUAUUCCCCAAUUGAGCCAUGUUUUGCAUCUUAUUCUGAUUCAGAGACUCCGAGCAGGACUUUAAAUGACGUGUGGUGACAGCUUCUGUGGAGCCGAGUGACAGAGGCCAGGGUUCCCUCUGCAAAUCAUGGAACACGUCUGUUUUCUACGCGUUGGUCCCUGGGGGAUAAAUCCCUUCCUGAUAAAAAGGCUUAACUGGGUACUUUUGUCCAGUUGCUAUGGGAGCAUGUUUUCUUGGAAGGAGCCGUGAGUGUUUUGGAGGAAGGAGUAAUUACUUCUUAGGAGGCGUUCCCCUCUUGAAGCCUUUCUGGAAAGGAGCGCCCAGGCUCUGACCACCUGGGAGCCCGGGGGAUGUGCCACCCGGACGGAGGCGGAGAGGAAGACGACGGGACUGGCGUCGCUGCUCCUGAGACUCAAGUUUCGAAAACGGCGCAGAGAACCGUCCAGGAGAGCAACGUGCGUUUCCCCAGCAUCCGCUCUCCUCCCCAGAACAGCGUCGCGGUCUGUCGGAGGCUGGGCGGCCUUCCAAAGCAGCAGAUGCCUGCCCACCGACGACGCCGGAGCACUGAAGUUCACGGCAGAAGGACACUGACCGCAGGGGUGUUUUGAACUAAGCACGCCACUUUCUCCAGCCUCUGGGGCUGAGAGUUUCCUGGCAGGGCCAGCGGCCACCUCUCCUGUAACAGAGGCUGCCAGUGCCCUGCCCUCAUGCCCUCACUCUGCCUGAACAUCCAACAGCUUCCCCUGGCAAGCUCGGGGCCCUGCCCUAGGGCACCCUGGCCACAGCCCUCCUCUCUGGGCUCAUAUCAGGCCACCUCUUCCUAUUGCUAAAUGGUCACUCUGGGACCUCGUUUGAAACUGCGUUUGCUCAGUCUCCUUACCAACCCGGGAGGCCAGCUGGAGGAUCCCCGCUUUCCGGCUGGGGCAGCGGAAAGCUCAAGGAGGUGACUUGGCCAGGGUCACAGGGCCAGGAAACGACAGAUCUGAGGCGUCCACACAGCUCUCGCGGCUGCAGGCUCGGUGCUCCAGCCCUCUGCCCAAGCCCCAGAGGGCACCGGCCCCCAGAACCUCCUCACCGUGACCUACGGUGCACAGCAGCCACCGAGUCAGGAGAGGAGCUCUUAUCUGUGUUUGUCCUGCAGAGGAGCUGCCUUAUCCUCGGGCAUUGGCUGUAACAUCGGAGUAGACACAACAGACUUUUAAUAACUCCGUGCAACUCUAAACCAGAAGCGUAUUUUUACUCCUGUGAGUCAGCCAUUUAUUUGUCAACCAAGGCCAGGAAAGGAAAGGGCCCAGGGGCCAUUCAUAAACAGACUGCAGCCCCCGGAGACAUCCCGGGGGAAGCCAAGCUGUCUAGAAAUGCUCUGGUCUAUGAAAACCAUUCCACGGGAACAGACCAGCGCCGGGAGCUGUCUGGGAAACGGCUGGCGGGGGUGGCAGAGGCGGAGGUGUGCGGAGGGGCACUGCAGAAGGCCGGCACACGUGCCACGGGCAGACCCAGCCCCACGUAGGAACCGCAGGGUAGAGCUCCGCCGGGCCUCAGCGUCACGCGCGGUGAAGCAGGCAAGAUGAUGCCAGCCUUUCGGGGAUUCAUGGAGAAUAGAGGUCA